rnacentral:rRNA from 1 species
GACAGAGGGUGCAAACGUUGCUCGGAAUCACUGGGCGUAAAGGGCGUGUAGGCGGGAAGUAAAGUCAGAUGUGAAAUCCCUGGGCUCAACCCAGGAACUGCAUUUGAAACUCACUUUCUUGAGUACCGGAGAGGAAGGUGGAAUUCCUGGUGUAGAGGUGAAAUUCGUAGAUAUCAGGAGGAACACCAGUGGCGAAGGCGGCCUUCUGGACGGUAACUGACGCUGAGACGCGAAAGCGUGGGGAGCAAACAGG